rnacentral:rRNA from 1 species
AUUGAACGCUGGCGGCAGGCCUAACACAUGCAAGUCGAACGAGUGGCGGACGGGUGAGUAAUGUCUGGGAAACUGCCUGAUGGAGGGGGCUAACUACUGGAAACGGUAGCUACUACCGCAUACCAUCAGAUGUGCCCAGAUGGGCUUAGCUAGUUGGUGGGGUAACGGCUCACCAAGGCGACGAUACCUAGCUGGUCUGAGAGGAUGACCAGCCACACUGGGACUGAGACACGGUCCAGACUCCUACGGGAGGCAGCAGUGGGGAAUAUUGCCCAAUGGGCGCAAGCCUGAUGCAGCCAUGCCGCGUGUAUGAAGAAGGCCUUCGGGUUGUAAAGUACUUUCAGCGGGGAGGCGUUACCCGCAGAAGAAGCACCGGCUAACUCCGUGCCAGCAGCCGCGGUAAUAC